rnacentral:rRNA from 1 species
GCACAAGCAGCGGAGCGUGUGGUUUAAUUCGAUGCUACACGAAGAACCUUACCAGGGUUUGACAUGCAAGUGGUAGGAAACCGAAAGGCGACCGACCCUUCGGGGAGCUUGCACAGGUGCUGCAUGGCUGUCGUCAGCUCGUGUCGUGAGAUGUUCGGUUAAGUCCGCUAACGAGCGCAACCCUCGCUGUGUGUUAUAUGUGUCACACGGGACUGCCGGUCUUAAGCCGGAGGAAGGUGGGGAUGAUGUCAAGUCAGCAUGGCCUUUAUAGGUGGGGCUACACACGUCAUACAAUGGCUGGUACAAAGGGUCGCCAACCCGCGAGGGGGAGCUAAUCCCAUAAAGCCAGUCGUAGUCCGGAUCGUAGUCUGCAACUCGACUACGUGAAGUCGGGAUCGCUAGUAAUCGUGGAUCAGAAUGUCACGGUGAAUACGUUCCCGGGUCUU